UGGGGAAUUUUGGACAAUGGGCGCAAGCCUGAUCCAGCCAUGCCGCGUGAGUGAUGAAGGCCCUAGGGUUGUAAAGCUCUUCCACCGGUGAAGAUAAUGACGGUAACCGGAGAAGAAGCCCCGGCUAACUUCGUGCCAGCAGCCGCGGUAAUACGAAGGGGGCUAGCGUUGUUCGGAUUUACUGGGCGUAAAGCGCACGUAGGCGGACUUUUAAGUCAGGGGUGAAAUCCCGGGGCUCAACCCCGGAACUGCCUUUGAUACUGGAAGUCUUGAGUAUGGUAGAGGUGAGUGGAAUUCCGAGUGUAGAGGUGAAAUUCGUAGAUAUUCGGAGGAACACCAGUGGCGAAGGCGGCUCACUGGACCAUUACUGACGCUGAGGUGCGAAAGCGUGGGGAGCAAACAGG
rnacentral:rRNA from 1 species